AGAGAGUCCACCAAGUGAGAGCUUGACUGUUACUUUGGUGUUGACUCCGGACCUCUCGCCAGCUAAACUAAAGAAGUUAAUGGAACUCUUGUGGGGUCCGGAAGUUUUUGAGUCAACAUUUUGGUGCCAUGACUCGGAUCCCAACAAAGGGAACGUUUCUCUGGGCUGGAUAAGUGACCGAGAGUUUGAAUCGAGCAUAAUAGAGUGGUAGGGCACCCCAAGGUAUUUUACCCCAGACCACUCCUUAUGUUCGGACAGACGAUCUGCCCCUCGCCCAGUGAAACUGGUACCUUGAUGGGAUACAACGAAUAUCCGGACCAGGAUCAUAAGUUUACAUUCACAGGUACGCCAAGCCUAUCGAGAGGGUGACAAUCUGUCUGAAGGAGACUACCCUCCUGUAGACCCUGGAGAUGUUGUCCUGAUUAAGAACUGGGACCGGGGAAAGUUGGAACCAAGGUGGAAAGGACCAUAUCAAGUGUUACUGACCACCCCCACAGCUGUGAAAGUGCAAGGACAACCCUGCUGGUUUCAUAGAACCGACUGUAAACGAGUCAGUGAAGGAACAGAGAAGGAUUAAGGAAGAAAAAUGCAUUGGAUAAUUGUGACUAUGGUGACUUUGGCGGGGUUUUACUCUGAGGACAGAAGGAUUUCGGGCUAACACCUUUCUAUCCCUGUCAUACAUAUGCCAAACUGGUAGAACAGGGAGCGUGUUGGGUAUGUGCUGAGAUUCCCCAGCACGAUGAGGCCAUGAUUCCCAUGUCUAUUGUCCCCCUCAAUGCCAGUGAAGUAAUUUCAAUACAAACCUUUUCGGCUUCUACUAUUGGUAGUGCGGUCAACUGCUCACUAUAUCAACACGGUAGUGAUUGUCAGCCAUGUUGUUUUGAAGGGUGGAGAGCAAGAAAAGCCCCCUCAGAUCCCGAGAAGUUAGUGACUGCCUUGAUAGUGCCCCCUCCUAAAGAUCCGGUGAAUGUUACCUGUUACUGUAGCCAUAAUCAGAGUGUGCCCCAUGAUGUGGGAUACAGCUCCUGUGUAAAGAAUCAGAGUAUUGCGCUUCCACGGCCUCUAAAUGGAACCUACUGGGUGUGCAGGAACCGGGCCUACACAUGGUUGCCAGGAGAGAAAGCAGACAAUGGUGGAACCACUAAAUCCCAAGGCCGCCCUUGGAAGGGUUGUUGUUACUUAGCAUAUUUGGUCCCUCAUUUAUGAAUUAUGAGUCACCCCAAGGGACAUUCUCGUUGGGGUCGACAACAAAGGGAAAUACCUGAAAGGGAAAGGGUCUGGAUGAUCCUUUUUCCCCUUUAUGGAACUGCCCGAACUUCUAGGGAAACAAUUAAUCUGGCAGCUGCCCUGGAGGUAGUAGCUAACAAUACAGUGGGGGCAUUGACUGAUACUCAGACGCAGGUAACUGAGUUAUCUGCUGAAAUGGUUGCAAUGCGGCAAACAGUCUUACAAAAUCGAAUGGCCCUAGACUUUAUCCUAGCAGAAAAAGGAGGGACAUGUGCCAUUAUAGGUAAGGAAUGUUGUACUUAUAUUCCUGAUGAAUCAACCAAUAUUACUGACCUCUCCAAGCACAUUACCCAAGAAGUCCAGAAAAUCCAAGGUGUUGGUAAUGACCUACAUGGGUUCAAUAGUGGGACAGGAUGGUGGCCGUUUGGGAGUCUUUUUGGGAAUAUUGGGGGCAUGUUGUUACAUUUCGGGAUUAUAAUACUUAUUGUAAUUGCCUGCAUUCUCGUGUUAAGAUGCUUGUGGCCACUGAUAUCCAAUUGCUAUAGUUUUCAGCUUUAGGAAUAUUCUGUGUGAUCAUAAAAUGAUCAAAAGGAAGGAAUGAUAAAGUAUUGGGGAAGCAAUAGUUAGAAGUUUUGCUGAAAUAACGAUGUACCAUAAAUUUUGGAAUGUGUGCCUGUGUUUGUAACAAACUAAAGGUUGCAGCUGUUCUUCCCAUGGCUGGGGCUGCUUUCUCUAUUCAAUGGAACAUUGUUAACUGCACUGCUUAUCUGCUUAUGACGCAUGUGAACAGUAUGGGAUGUGAUAACAAGGGCUAUAAACUGUACUGCUUUUAUGCUAUACACAGAGGUCCAAAGAGAGUCCACCAAGUGAGAGCUUGACUGUUACUUUGAUGUUGACUCCGGCCCUCUCGCCGGCUAAACUAAAAUAAAGAAGUUAAUGGAA